GGGAAUGUGGCUUAGUGGUAAAGUGCCUGCCUGGCAUGCAUGGAGCCCUGGGUUCGAUUCCUCAGGACCA
rnacentral:tRNA from 1 species